GAUGAACGCUGGCGGCGUGCCUAAUACAUGCAAGUCGAGCGAACGGACGAGAAGCUUGCUUCUCUGAUGUUAGCGGCGGACGGGUGAGUAACACGUGGAUAACCUACCUAUAAGACUGGGAUAACUUCGGGAAACCGGAGCUAAUACCGGAUGAUAUUUUGAACCGCAUGGUUCAAAAGUGAAAGACGGUCUUGCUGUCACUUAUAGAUGGAUCCGCGCUGCAUUAGCUAGUUGGUAAGGUAACGGCUUACCAAGGCAACGAUGCAUAGCCGACCUGAGAGGGUGAUCGGCCACACUGGAACUGAGACACGGUCCAGACUCCUACGGGAGGCAGCAGUAGGGAAUCUUCCGCAAUGGGCGAAAGCCUGACGGAGCAACGCCGCGUGAGUGAUGAAGGUCUUCGGAUCGUAAAACUCUGUUAUUAAGGAAGGACAUAUGUGUAAGUAACUGUGCACAUCUUGACGGUACCUAAUCAGAAAGCCACGGCUAACUACGUG
rnacentral:rRNA from 1 species